AUGAUAAGCUCACUAGGGUUGACUAUUGUACCCGUUUUGUUGUUUGCAUUAGCGGAAGGACCACAGCCAUCGCCCGUCUCCCAUCUCCAAGAUGGCGGAGGCAGCUUCAACCUCACCUCUCGCGAGGAGUCUGUCUCACUGUCUCUGAUUAGCCCCGAGGUCAGAGCUAUAACAAAGACUCUUGAGAGCUCAGGCGCCAGAAUUCUGGCAAUGAAAGAAGACACCCAGUCCUUUCUGAAGGCUCGCAUCGCUGUAGUGUUCUGCACGUGCUGUUGGAAAUCAUGAAUUGCUGCGGCUGUUUUCCCACCAUCUGCCUCCUGGCCCUCAGACGAAGGCAACAACCCCUGACCAUCUCCAGUUUUGCCUCUCCAGUCUUUCCUCCAUAUUAAGUAAUUGUCAUACACCUGUUCACAUCAUUCAGAAGCUACCUCCUCUACUGGAUAAAAUCCAGACUUCUAAUGGCUUAAAGAACUACUCUCUACUUGUCAAGGGGUGACUGCCAGGAACAUUUACUUUCAAAGAUGAUAAUCUGCCUUUUUAACAAUCCAAAUGUCCAUUGUGGUAUAGUCAUACAAAGGAAUACUAUACAGCAAUCAAAGUUAAACUGUGACCCACAACAAUAUGGAUGGUUCCUACCUAAUAUCAAAGAAGUCACGCAAAAGCGAAUAUAGGAUCCUAUUUUUUUAAAGAGUAAAAAAGGUAAGUAAAAGUCAGAAGAAGUUACUUUGGGGUAGAGAGGCAACAAAAGGGGGCUUACAGGAUAGUGGUAAUGUGUCUUUUGACAGAGGUGAGAGUUAAACACUACGUUCACUUUAUGAUAAUUCAUCAUCUGAUCCUGAUGAUUUAGAAAAUCUCUGGUGUAAGUACACUGAGGAUUGCUGGAGGGGAGGUGGGUGGAAGGAUAGGGUAAUUGGGGAGACAGGCAUUAAGGAGGUCACCUGAUGUAAUGAGCACUGGGUGUCAUAUGCAACUGAUGAAUCACUAAAUUCUAUGCCCAAAACCAUUAAUAUACUAUCUGUUAAAUUGAAUUUAAAUAAAAAAAAUUUUUUAAAUCCCUGGUGUUUAUUCUACUUUAAUAGUUUACUACGCAAACAAGGGCUAUACAAGAUAGGCAAAAUUGCCUUUCUUUUACAAAACAGGAAAAAUGUUUACGUGCUCAUUUGAUCUCUUCAUUUGGUCCCUUACAUAAAGUGUCAAAAAUGAAAAUAUCUCUUAGCUUUAUAUGCCCAUCUAAGG